rnacentral:rRNA from 1 species
ACUUUCAACAACGGAUCUCUUGGCUCUCGCAUCGAUGAAGAACGUAGCGAAGGCGAUAAGUGAUGUGAAUUGCAGAAUUCCGUGAAUCAUCGAAUCUUUGAACGCAAAUUGCGCUCUCUGGUAUCCGGAGAGUAUGCCUGUUUGAGGGUCAGU